CUCUCCACUGACCUUUGUGACCCUUUUUUGACCAAGAAACAAGGCAACUUCUCCACACACACCUACCGCUGUGGCGGGUGUUUUUGUACAGGUAGAUGACAAGACUAUGACUCCUCCCACCUCCACGAUGUGUUUGAAGAGAUGUUUCUCCAUAUCCCCUGCAGGAAUGCUCUGAACAUUGCCUUACUCCUAAUCUAGUCUUGCCUGAGGAGACCAGAAGUCUACUGAUUCACUGUUCCUUUUAGCAUGAGGAAAAGGAUGCUGCCCGAGAAGAGCUGGGAAGAAUGUAUUUGCUGGUCCUUAUGCAGAAACAGGAAGCUGUAUUCCAAUGCUCUUUACAGCUGCUGUGGAGAUAACCUUUUUCUGUCUGGAAAGAUGAAAAACGGGACGGAAAGGCGCCUCCCCAGGUGCUGAUCAAUUAGAAGUAACAUUGCUCACAGCAGCAGUGCAGCCAUACUUCAGUAAUCAUCCAGUUCCAAGGACUGAUGGAGUAAAGAUAUGUUGCCAAAACAUGCAUCUGAGCAUGCAGGAGAAAUUUUAGAAGGCACUGCAAGACUGCAGCACUUACAUGCAAGCUCAUCUGCAGGGGACUCUGUGCAGCAGUGACACCCCGGUCAGGCAGAAGUGGCUCACCAGCCAAGAUCCCCAGCUGACCAGAGCAAACGCCUGUGGUCAAAACAUCGGAUGCAGCCUCCGAGGAAAGGGGACCACAUUGAUUCACUAAAACUUCAGGUGUGGUAGCUGAGCAUUCUGAACUCACGUAUAACUUAAGUUUCCUACAUUGUUCACAGAGGACACUUCUUAAUCAGGCAGGAGUAAAGACCAGGGUCUGGAUUUUUAUUUAUUUAUUUUUUUUGAGGCCACUUAAACAAUAAUCCUAAUUCCGUUAGGAUUAAUCUCCUUUUAAUGCACAUUUUGUGACACUUCUCCCCUCCUCCCCCAUCCAAGAUAGGGAAUUACAGAGAUGUUAAUUUAAGCCCUUGUUUCCUAUUGUUCGCCAGCAUUUAGUGAGUAUAACUGUCUCACUGAGGUCAGUGCUGCUUUUCAUUGUCCUCUGUGGGAGUUAUUUACAUAAAAGGACAAGUAUAAGGCUGCUGUUGAGUCUCACUGUACAUCUUCUCAAUCUGUUCUAAUAUUAAACUAUUUAACUCCCCGAUUUUGAUACAGAUUAGUUCUUCUUCUUUCAGUCCAUUUGCAGAUUAAGUAUGGAAAUAGAGAAGUACAUUUUCCAGGGUGCUAUUACUAUUUAACUUCCAAAUCAGCAUUACCCUGUCUUAAGACAUGGACUUUUUGAAAGUUAAACAAACAAUCUUUUAUCUUCCUCAUUGGCUUAUCAAUCUGAAUGCAAAAUUGUGAAUACAGUGGAUUUUAAGAACAUUUGCCUUAUGUUUAUGCUCCUGACAUUUUGAAAUAGGCCCAAAUCCAGACUGCACUGUGAAAAUGAACAAUGAAAUUAAAUUGUGCCCUAUUUUUCUCCACUUUCACACAUUGUCUGAAACUGCAUGUAAAGAGAAAUUAACUAACAUAAUAAUUCUAAUGAGUAUAGCACCAAGAUGCAAUGUGUAAAAAAUAUAUAAGCAAUUAAGACUGGUAAAAACAAAAGAAAAUUAAUGUAAUGAAACAGAUGUGCUAUAACAUAGAAGAUGGGGUGAUGUCCCAAGUCUUGUUGCUUUUGAUCUUAAUUAAACAGCCUCAAAAAUCAUUCCUUCAUACAGCUGUUUGCUAUAUUGCAUUGAUUACCUGCUUUUUUGAGAGGUAUUAGCAGAUUCAAAGAAGAAAAUACAGGCUAUGUGUUUUCUAUGUAUAGAACAGACUAUGAUCCUGUCAGUCUACUAUUGCAUCGUCUACAGCCAAUUUAAAUCUUCCUGGGACAAUGAAAUACCAACUAAGUAUACUUGGCUCACCUUUAGUAGGUAAUAGGCAUACCAGAUAGAUAAUCAACAGUGAUCUGCAUUAAUCUGUGUAGCAAAGCUUGUACAUGACUCUGAAGGUAGUUAAAACUUGAUGCGAGAUCAGUGUUUCUUGUAAGAGUAAUUUGGCCAAACUCAAUCUGAAGUAAAAGAAACUAUUUUCUCCCUUAACAGGAAAAAAAAUAAAAGUCUUCUAGGAAGGAAAGGGCACAAUCUGCACAGCACCAAUCCUCAACAACACAUCACACUGCAAUCAUCGGGGAAUGUCAUAGCUGUGUAAAAAGUUAAGCUAUAACUUGUUACUUUUACUGGGCUGUUUACCCCUUAAUUUCUUACACAUUGUACAAUCAGGAGGCAGAGGUAGCCCAACCAAGUACGGAAAAAUUGCCUUGUUAUCUAAACUUGGAGCAGUUCUGCUUACCUUUUAUCAUUUCACUGAUGCAAUCAGGAUAUUUGCAAAUAUUGGAAACUGAAGAAAAUUGCAACGAUGGGGAACAAUAAUUAUGAGCACUAUGAAGUUAAGAGAUUCUGCAGAAUGAGGAACGUACACGAUGUAGUUACUUAAAAUACUCAAUGAUUUGAAUUAUAAAUAAAUCCAAGGAGAAUUUAGCCAACGUGGAGACUACACUUUAUCUGAAAGCAAGAAGAUAUUAAUUUUUUGGGGAGGAGGAAGGGGAGGAAUAGAGAAGUGGUGGGAAGAAAACAUGAUAACGUUCUGAAAUAUCUUGAUUACCUGCAUCUAAAGUAAAAAUACUAGUCUAGGGACUAAAGGGAGGGAAGUACAUAGUUUCACACCUUGGUAUGCCAGCCUGACAAAUUUGGAAUAUAUGCACUGUUGAAUGGCCAAAAUGGUUUUGAUAUAUUUAACCUGCUUAAAACAUAUGAUCAGACUUCACAUUCAUGGUAUUUGUUUUUGAAUACCACACAGAAAAUAAUAAUAAAAAGAACAGGGAACAACUUUCCAUGGAUGAGACUUCCAUAUUUAUUGUUCUUCCGUGUGCAUAGAAAAUGGCAGUGAAGUUUUUUAUGAAAUAGACAAGGAAUGGGAGAGGUGUAGAUAUACUGAACUAGACUUUGUGCUUCAAAAUUACACUAUUAAUUUAAUUUUUUUUUUAAUUUAUAACAUUUUCUUGGAUUUUUUUUUGUGCAUGAUGUUUCAAAUUCCUUUUAAA